CCUUCAACAUUUCUUCAACAAAGAACAGAGACCCAUUUCCUUCAACAUUUUGACACAAAGAACUGAGACCCAUUUCUUCGGCUUGGGCUUGGUUUGAGGAGCUACGAAAGAAGCGAAUGGCAGAGUUGAGGCAGGUUUUAGAGCAUUCAGAAGACUCAAUAGGGUAUUGAUUAUAUUCUCUUGGUUGUGGAUCGAAUUGGCAAGGAGCAUUGCAAAGUUAAUUAACUUGAUUAUUAAUAGCAAGAGGUACGGAAGUAUGUUCUCUUAACUCUUUUAUUAAUAUCAUACAAAUGUUAGAGGAGUUUGAAUAUCUUAAAUAUUCAUUCAUAGAGAAGUAGGUUCUGAGAUUAAAAUUGUGUGCUGCGAUGAUAACGGAAGGUUGAAAACUUGUGUGUCUUAGAGAAGUAGGUUCUGGAAAAUUUGUUUGUGUGUUGCGGUGAUAUAAGGAUGAAAACUUAUUGUGUGUUGUUUUAAUUUUUUUACUUGGUAUUGAUAGAUGGUUAGGUAAGCUUUUAUAUGGGAAAUGAUGUCAGAUUUUAUCUAGAAUUAUAAGCUAACAUCUUCUUACAAA